rnacentral:rRNA from 1 species
AGGGUGUAAACGCUGCAGACUUGGUGUUGGAAGCCCUUUGGGGGCGAUUCAGUGCCGGAGAGAAGUUGUUAAGUCUGCUACUUGGGGAGGUACGUCCGCAAGGAUGAAACUUAAAGGAAUUGGCGGGGGGAGGCACCACAACGGGUGGAGCCUGCGGUUUAAUUUGGACUCAACGCCGGGAAGCUCACCGGAUAAGACAGCGGAAUGAUUGCCGGGCUGAAGACUCUGCAUGACUAGCUGAGAGGUGGUGCAUGGCGUAGACGUCU